rnacentral:rRNA from 1 species
UACGGGGGGGGCAAGCGUUGUUCGGAAUUACUGGGCGUAAAGCGCACGUAGGCGGCUUUGUAAGUCAGAGGUGAAAGCCUGGAGCUCAACUCCAGAACUGCCUUUGAGACUGCAUCGCUUGAAUCCAGGAGAGGUGAGUGGAAUUCCGAGUGUAGAGGUGAAAUUCGUAGAUAUUCGGAAGAACACCAGUGGCGAAGGCGGCUCACUGGACUGGUAUUGACGCUGAGGUGCGAAAGCGUGGGGAGCAAACAGG